GNUUNAUGCGAUAAUCCGCGCAAANNCNUNNCCAACCCUUGACAUAUUAAAAAAUAAUUUUAAUUGACNAAAAAUUGUUUUGCUAUUAGUUAAAAACUAAUAUAUUUUUACUACAGGUGUUGCACGACUGUCGUCAGUUCGUGUCGUGAGAUGUUUGGUUCAUUCCUUUAAACGAGCGUNAACUCUUAUUUUUNAAAAAUUUACUUCUGAUUUUUGAUUUUUAUCNAAAAAUCCUGCUUUNAAAAAGACUGUUUGUUAAAAAAUACUUUAAAGGAAGGUGAGNAAUUAAGUCAAGUCACUGUGGCCCUUAUGGGUUGGGCUACACACGUGCUACAAUGAAAAUGACAAAAAGUAACAAAAAAAUUUUAGUUAAUCUUUAAAAAUUUUCUUAGUUCGGAUUGUAAGCUGCAACUCGUUUACAUGAAGAUGGAAUCACAAGUAAUCGCAAAUCAGAACGUUGCGGUGAAUACGUACCUUGGCUUUGUACACACCGCCCGUCACAUGCAGAAAGUUAGUUUUACUUGNAAAAUUAGUUUUUUUGAUUUUUGAUGUUAAAAAUNAA
rnacentral:rRNA from 1 species